GAUGAACGCUGGCGGCGUGCCUAAUACAUGCAAGUCGAGCGAACGGGCGAGAAGCUUGCUUCUCUGAUGUUAGCGGCGGACGGGUGAGUAACACGUGGAUAACCUACCUAUAAGACUGGGAUAACUUCGGGAAGCCGUAGCUAACACCGGACAAUAUUUUGAACCGCAGGGUUCAAAAGAGAAAGACGGACUUGCUGUCACUUAUAGAUGGAUCCGCGCUGCAUUAGCUAGUUGGUAAGGUAACGGCUUACCAAGGCAACGAUGCAUAGCCGACCUGAGAGGGUGAUCGGCCACACUGGAACUGAGACACGGUCCAGACUCCUACGGGAGGCAGCAGUAGGGAAUCUUCCGCAAUGGGCGAAAGCCUGACGGAGCAACGCCGCGUGAGUGAUGAAGGUCUUCGGAUCGUAAAACUCUGUUAUUAGGGAAGAACAUAUGUGUAAGUAACUGUGCACAUCUUGACGGUACCUAAUCAGAAAGCCACGGCUAACUACGUG
rnacentral:rRNA from 1 species